rnacentral:miRNA from 1 species
AAAUCUCUGCAGGCAACUGUGAUG